rnacentral:rRNA from 1 species
GACGAACGCUGGCGGCGUGCUUAACACAUGCAAGUCGAACGGAAAGGCCCUGCUUUUGUGGGGUGCUCGAGUGGCGAACGGGUGAGUAACACGUGAGUAACCUGCCCUUGACUUUGGGAUAACUUCAGGAAACUGGGGCUAAUACCGGAUAGGAGCUCCUGCUGCAUGGUGGGGGUUGGAAAGUUUCGGCGGUUGGGGAUGGACUCGCGGCUUAUCAGCUUGUUGGUGGGGUAGUGGCUUACCAAGGCUUUGACGGGUAGCCGGCCUGAGAGGGUGACCGGCCACAUGGGGACUGAGAUACGGCCAAGACUCCUACGGGGAGCAGCAGUGGGGAAUAUUGCACAAGGGGCGGAAGCCUGAUGCAGCAACGCCGCGGGCGGGAUGACGGCCUUCGGGUUGUAAACCGCUUUCGCCUGUGACGAAGCGUGAGUGACGGUAAUGGGUAAAGAAGCACCGGCUAACU